AUUGAACGCUGGCGGCAUGCCUUACACAUGCAAGUCGAACGGUAACGCGGGGCAACCUGGCGACGAGUGGCGAACGGGUGAGUAAUGCAUCGGAACGUGCCUGGUAGUGGGGGAUAACUGCUCGAAAGAGCAGCUAAUACCGCAUACGACCUGAGGGUGAAAGGGGGGAUCGCAAGACCUCUCGCUAUCAGAGCGGCCGAUGUCGGAUUAGCUAGUUGGUGGGGUAAAGGCCCACCAAGGCAACGAUCCGUAGCUGGUCUGAGAGGACGACCAGCAAACAGGGACUGAGACACGGCCGAGACUGCUACGGGAGGCAGCAGUGGGGAAUUUUGGACAAUGGACGCAAGUCUGAUCCAGCCAUGCCGCGUGCGGGAAGAAGGCCUUCGGGUCGUAAACCGCUUUUGUCAGGGAAGAAAUCUUCUGGGCUAAUACCCUGGGAGGAUGACGGUACCUGAAGAAUAAGCACCGGCUAACUACGUGCCAGCCGCCGCAGUAACAC
rnacentral:rRNA from 1 species